rnacentral:tRNA from 1 species
GCCUUUGUGGUGUAAUGGUCAGCACACUCGGCGCAUAUUCGAGAGGUCCAAGGUUCAAAUCAUGGCGAGACCA